rnacentral:lncRNA from 1 species
GAGUUUUUCUAGAUCCAGUUCGACCAUGUAGCGUGUGAAAUUCACGUCUUUCAUGGUGGAAAUUUGUGGGGGAGAUGUACUCUUGGUUUUUUGCAAGUUUCAACUUCAGGCUAUCUUUGGUACAACGACCUUCCGUUGUUCAUGGAUAUUUUAAUAUUAGAUACAAGGUGGACAUGAUCGCUACUAAAGGAUAUUUCAAUGUU